UCAUUCUUCCUCCAGUGACCAGGGAGAAUGCACAUGGGUGGGGGAUUUGUAAUUCAUUAAUCAGCACGAGGCACCGGACCAGUUUCAACACCACAGGCUUCUUGGGUGACUCAGCGGGAAUGCUCCGAUUCAAGGCGAUGGACCGCCCGAGCGUCCCCAUUUGUGAAAUGCUUCCCCGUGAAGAUGCCUGGCAUUCUCCUUCCUUUGGGGUUUCGGGUUGUUGGUUUUUCCGGUGGUGAGGUGGGGGUGGCUUGGCGGUGAGGGCUCCCCCUCCUUCCCGCAGGCCUGGGUUGGGAUUUGCUGGGCAGGAUACCUGGGGGUAUGCCUGGACCCUCCCAGAGGGGUCCCCUCCUCCCUCUCCAAGGGCUGCCGGGGAGAACACGCUCAGAGGAGGCAGCUCUCACCGAGGGCUGGGGACUGCCUUGCUUCAUGAUUUUCCUGGGGGAGAGUCAUGUGGUCCCCAAGGCUUGGGUGCCCUAUAGCCACACCACCAAUUAAAUCACUGGGUAAUAAGUUG
rnacentral:lncRNA from 1 species